CGGGAUCGACCUUCACAACCCCGGGCCUGCCGGGCGCGACCCUUCUCGAAGGGCAGUGCCCGCCCGCAGCCAGCCGGGCGCGGCUCGCGGCCACCGCGGCGCCAGGAGGGGCAGCGCAGAGGCUCGAGCCGCACCGCCAUGGCGGCGGAGGGGCGGCCCGGCCGCGGGGCGGCAGUUCCAGAGCCGGAGGGACGGUUAGGCCCCGCCAGAGGGAGCCGGAGACCGCCGGCCCGCGGCUGAGCUUUUGACCUGGAAUUUGCCACAGUGCUGAUCUGCUGCCUUUCUGAAGGUAUGAACUGUGGGGAUGGUACUGUAAAAGUGGGAGAAGCUGAUCUGAAGCCUUUUCUUACUGCUGGAGGAGAGGGCCUGCAGAGUAAAGGCAGGUGGUGGCCAGGUGGUGUAGAGGGAGAGCACAAAAUUGAUUUCGGAGGCGCCUUGCUAUCUCCACCAUUACACACUGUGCUGUUAGCAUAGUGCACAUCACUGCCCUGUUCUCCUGUGUGUCUGGCAUGUUCAGUAUGUACAGAUACACAAAAGGAACGUGAUUCUUAAUGGGUGGGUUUGGGCUGUGACUCCUUCUUAGAGGCAGUUUCCACACUCCAGUAAGUUGGGGAUACAUGCAUGCUUUAGAGCCAAGUAUGACUUCUCUAUCCUUGCCAAUUUAUAUAAACAAAUUGCUGAACUGCCUGCAGGUGAAGGUUGCAUGGUCUGUCAUCUCUGGAAUUAGUAACACCUGUGUGAGUGAGACUGUCCUGUGAGUUUCCUACUCCUGUUGCAGCUCUGGGAAGACCAGCUUCCACAUCCUCAAGAUUUGUGUGCACACGGCAUAUGAAAAUACCUGUUUGGAACUAUGAUUGUUGGCAAGACCUGAGGCUGGAAAUCAAAACCAGAGAAUCGUAAGUGAGCAGAGGACUUGAAGACAACUACAGAAUUCACAAGUAAUUGCUGCUUAACUGACAAGUACCUUCAUUUAUAUAAACAUGGAGGGUAAUGAAGGAGAAGCUCUGCAUGCAGCCAGAAUGAAGGUAACACCUCUGGCUAUCAGGCACACCAGGCAGACUAGCCAAAGAAGCAUGACUUAAGUCUGAUACAGGCUGCUCAGUUCAAACUUCUAGCCAGCCAGCAUUUUAAACUUUAAUGCAGACAAGAACGGUUGUGUUCAUCAACAGAUGAUAACUUAAUAUUUAGCUUAUUCCUGAAGCUCAUCAUCUUCAGCUCAUGCUGCUGCAAACUGCAGUAUGCUGCAGCUGGUCUCCAGAAACAGGUCUGCUUAAAGCUUAGAGGAACCUGAAGUAAACGUAGUGGAGUUUGAAUGCUGCAGAAGAAAAAAAAGUAAAAGGCAAGCUGUUGCUGGAGUUAAGAAUAAAUUCCAAAUUCAGCUUAUCUAGCAAAGGGCUC